AUUGUGUUGAGUGGUUGUCAAAAGUUUUCCUAUUUUUCCAUGAAAAUUACCGAUGAAUUCAUAGGUAAAUUCAAGUUCGUUUCUGUGCAAAUUGUUUGUGAUGUGGUUUAUUCCGUAUGUGUGCUGGAUUAAAUUCAAAAUUCCUCAAUCUAACCUGUAGGAAGGAACUGGAAAGGAAACAGUAGCAUACAAGUUGCCUACCAUCACUAACAUCAACUCUUUUAUUAUAAAUCUUCGUUCUGCUGAAUGCAUCAUGCAGUUAAUACAGGUCACUACCCCAGUGUGGACAUGUUUGUUUUUCAACAAAUAAUACAUUGACAUACAAGGAAAACUAUGAAAAAUAUCAUAUCAUCUUGGCCAAUCUUCAGGUUUAUUGCAGCAGCUUAAGAGAAGAAUAUGAACAAAUGCAGGGCAAAUACCAACAUGUGUUGUAUUUUUCUGAAUGUUAAACACAAGCAGUAGAUUCAACAUGACUAACUGUUUGAUGCCAAAGUUAGUUGGAACUCAACUCACUGUAUGUACUCUAACACAGAUAACUGGUGCUGUUGCCUUUCAGCCACAGGCAGGAAAAUCAUUCUUUUCUUCAGAAAAUUGGAAAGCUGCAGGAAUAAUCUGGUGUUCAUGCUCAUUUGAUUCAUUUUGUGCCAGCUAGUGAAAGCCGAAAGGCAUGUCGAAUUCAAUUGAGCUGCUACGUGCUGUCUCGAAGCAAGCAAUCCAGCCGUUGCGUUCAGUCAUUUGGAACAGGAAUCUAAUGGCUGUCAAUAGGUGGCUGUGAAUAAGUGGCUGAAAUAAUGUCCACCAGGUGGCGCGAGUGUAUUCAGGGACAGGGAACACAUCGGCCAUUUUGUUCCAAGACGCAGCAGGAAAUAGGUGUGAUUUGUGACGUUUCUCACGAUGAAAAUUAAAAGGUGAUUUAGCUCACAGUAACCAAUUUGCCAAAUCAUUCAACUCAGACUUGG